GGAUGUAGUGGAGAUCAGUCUACUCUUAGAGAGUGUGACACCGUAGGAAGACCUGGUGUCUGUUAUUAUGGAUAUCAUCAUGUGAUCUGUUCAGAGUCUGUGCAGCUUGUGGAUGGAGCUGGCCUCUGCUCUGGGAGACUGGAGGUGAAGUCCAAUCAGUCCUGGGCCUCAGUGUGUGAAGCUGACUUUGACCAGCAGGAUGCAGAGGUAGUCUGUGGGGAGCUUGGCUGUGGGGCUCCUGCAGCUCUACAGGGGGGGCUCUAUGGAGAAGGUGAGGGUCAGACCUGGGAUAAAGAGUUCCAGUGUAAAGGCAAUGAGUCCCUUCUCCUGGACUGUGACACCUCAGACAGAAAAAACAACACCUGCCUACCUGGUAAUGCUGUUGGACUCACCUGCUCAGAGCCUGAUGAUGUGAGGCUGGUGGGAGGAGGCAGUCGCUGUGCUGGUGGAGUGGAGCGGUACGACCAGGGAGAGUGGAGGACU